rfam:Piriformospora indica DSM 11827 mitochondrial complete genome
AUUGAACUAUAAAAAAUAUUUUAUAGUUAGAGAAGAAUUUAAUCAAUCCUAAGGGAAACCUUUCAUUAUUAUUUAUUAAUCUUUUUAAGAUUAAUAAAUAAUAAUAUAAUUUUUACUUCCUGAACCAAAUCAUUGUUUGAAGGAAAGGAAAGAAAAUCAACCGAGACUCCAAUAGUAACGGUGAGUGAAAUUGGACUAGCCUAAAUUUUAAAAUAAAAAUUUAUAAGACUAAAAUUAUAUACUUAAUAUAUAAUUUUUUGCUAAAAAAGAAUUCCCGUUAGAUUUAAUAAAUAUUUAUUUAAGUGUCUACGGACUGCUCUGUAUAAUUUUAUUUUAUAAUUAAAAAAGUACAACGAAUUCUAAUUUGUUGGAAUAUAAUAUAAAAAAACAAAAAAUUUUUUAUAUUAAUUAGGGGUACCAUCCUCUAAGGCUAAGUAUUGUAUUGCUAGCGAUAGUGAAAAUAGUACUGUGAAGGAAAAUAGAAAUGAAAUAGUAACUUUAUAAGCAUCGGUUAAGAAGAUUAUUCGUUAGUCUGCUUAAAGCAGUAAUUCUAAACAAAUCUUAACCCGAGUACCUUUUGUAUAAUGGGUCAGCAACUUAAUAUAAAGAAGCAAGGUUUAUAACCCUAGCGAAAGCGAUUACACUUCUUUAUUUUUAAAGAUAGUAGUGAGUUAGUUUCUUAUAUUAGACCCGAACUGAGGUGAUCUUACCAUGUUCAGAUUAUUAAAGGAUCGAACGGUUGAAUGUUGCAUUAUUCUCCGAGGAAAUAUGGUACGUAUGUGAAAGAUCAAUCUGACCUCAAUCUAGCUGGCUUGUUGUGAAAUAUAUUUAAGUAUAGAGUCUUUAAAAUAAGAAAAAAGUAUUUUUUUUUUCUUAUAUUGAUUAUUGUAGGUACAGCGAGCUGAUACCAUUGUGUUAAAAUAUUCUUUUUAAUACUUAUUUUGGGGGAGGUGAAAGUCCUAUCAUUGGUAACUAAUCUCGGAAUUACAAUACAUUAAAAAAAAAGAUAUUCAGACUAUGCGCGCUAAGGUGGAUAGUCAAAACGAAAACAGUCGAGAACACAAAAUAAGGUUCCCAAACGAUUAUUAAGUGAAAUUAAGGUUGUGCUUUUUGGAUAUACAGCUUAGUAGUGAGCCUGGUAGUCGCUAACUUAUAAUGAUCGUGUAAAAACGCGUAAGCCCAAUAUAAUUAAAUAAUAUUUAUUUAUUAAUCAGUGCACCGAAAAUUUAACGGGUCUAAAUAAUCGACCGAAUUUGUGUUGCUAAUAUUAAUAAUUUAAAAAGUAUUUUUAAUACGUUUUUUAAAUUAUUAAUAUUUAGUAAGGUAACAACACAUCCUAUACUUAAAGACAAGUAGUUUUUAACUGCGUAAGAGGUAUAUGGAUAGCUAAUGCUGACAUGAGUAGCGUAAAAGAAGGAAAAUAAUCCUUCUCGCCGAAAACGAAAGGUUUUUAAUUUGAAGAAUUUUCAAAUCGAAUUAUUUAAAGCGGUCUCUAAGGAUUAAAAAAACUAUGCUAAAGCAUAAUCUGAUGAGUAAUAGCCUUUAACAAGAAAUUGUUAUAAAAUUUUAUUUUUUUUGAAUAAUAUUAUGCGCUUUAAACUUACAUAUAUUAUUUUUAAAUAUAAAACAAGAAAAAUAGGCUUAACUACCGUACCUUAAACCGACACUGGUUCGUUGGUAGAGUAUACUAAGGCGAAGAGAUAAGACUCGUAAAGGAACUCGGCAAACUAGGUUCGAACGCUUGACUAGAAGAACAACCUUAAUUUAAUAAUUUAAAUUAAAGUCAUAUUUUUAGAUUAAUAGUGUUGUUAAUUCGGCACUAUUUUUUCUGAAAUAUGUUUAAAUUAUUCUUUUAGGGAGCACAAAAUCGAGGGCUCCAACUGUUUCUUAAAAACACAAUUCAGUGCAAAUAAUAAUUUAUUAGUAUACUGGAUGAGAUUUGCUCCGUGGCGGUAAUAUAAUAUAAUGUAAUGUAUUGUUACAUUUGGAAAAUCCGCUAAACAGCGGCCUUAACCAUGAGGGUCCUCAGGUAGAAUAAUCGCUGCCUGUGUAUUAAUUAUUCUAUAUACAAAAAAUUUAUUAAUGAUUAUAAAUAAUUAUUAAUAUUUAAUUUGUAAGAUUUAUAUAAAUAAUCUUCAGAGACUUUAUGAAUUAAAAAUUUAAUUUAUUAUAAUUUCUUAAACAAAAAAAAAGUUUUUUAUUCAAUUUUUUAUACUUUGAUUACCUUUGUCUUUUUACACCUUUUGUUUUUUUGGCUCACAGAUGAGCAGACGGCCUGUAUAAGUCUAAGGUAUAAGGAAAAAUAAAAAAAAAUAUUACAUUAGACAUUAGACAUUAAAUAGUUAAACUGUUAAUAAUAAGAUGAAUACAUUUUCAAGUUUAAACCCACAAUGAGUAGCAGGUUUUAUUGAUGGUGAGGGUUGUUUUCAUGUUUCUAUUAUAAAAAAUAAUACAAUGAAAACAGGAUAUGAAGUUCGAUUAGAAUUUUCUAUAACUCAACAUGUAAGAGAUGCUGAACUUAUGUCUUUAUUUAUAAUUUUUUUUUUUAAUUGUGGUUAUUUAGCUUCUGAUGGAUCUUUAAAAGUUCAAUUUAGAAUUAGAAGUUUAAAACAAAUUGAAGAUAAUUUACUACCUUUUUUGGCUAAUAAUCCUUUAUUAACUAAAAAAUCUUUAGAUGUUGCAGAUUUCAUUAAAGUAUUUAAUUUAAUGAAAGCUAAAAAACAUUUAACAAUGGAUGGUAUUAAUAUUAUUCAAAAUAUUUAAUCUAAUAUGAAUAGUAGAAGAACAAAAUAGUUCUUCUGAUAAUUUCAUACUUUAAUUACAAUAAUAUAUUUUUAAUUAAAUUACUUAUUAAUUAAUAUAUUAUUAAAUUAUUCUUAUUUUUGUUCUUAAUUUAUGCGCUCCUUUUGCCCUUUGCCUCCCGUGCAAUUAAGAACAAAAAAUAUUCACGUUUCAAUUAAUGUUUAAAAUAUUUUAACCCUUUACCAUUCUAUUUUUAUUUAAAUUAAGUAAGCAAAAUUUAAUAAAUUAUAUUUUAAGACAAAGUCCAAAAUAAAAAUAAAAAUAACAAAAUUCAUUGUUAUUAUCUUUUUAUUAAAACUAGAGCGAAAUUCCUUGGCCGUUAAAUGCGGUCCUGCACGAAUAAUAUAAUGAUAGCCCUGCUGUCUCUACGAGUUUCUCAGCGAAAUUGAAAUACCCGUGAAGAUGCGGGUUGCCUUCAGGUAGACGGGAAGACCCUAGCAGCUUUACUAUAGCUAGUUAUUGCUUUUUUUGUUUACUUCGCUUGUAGUAAUAAAAGGUCAUGUCGAUAGACAAAUAUGAAAAACCUUAGCAAAGUAUUUGAAAAAGCUUACUUUUUAAAUUUACAAAAAGAACACUAAUUAGUUGGUAGUUUGUCUGGGGCGGACAUCUUUAAAAUAGUAUCAAAGUAUAUCCAAUUUUAUAAGUCAAUAAAUUACAUUGUAUGGAGAACAAUAAGUUAUUUUAACUACUAAAUGUGUAAUGGCAUUAGAUUGACUGACUGUAAGACCUAUAAGUCAAACAGGUACGUAAGUAGGGCAUAGUGACCAGGUAGGCCUAAAUGGGUCAGCCUAUCGAUUAAUAGCUAAAAGUUACGCUAGGGAUAACAGCCUUACCUUAUUUGAGAGUUCAUAUUGAGAAUAAGAUCUGGGACCUCGAUGUCGACUCAACUGGGUGGAGUAUAUUAAUAAUUUAUACGGUAAUUUAUUAAAUAUAAGCAGAAUAAUAGUUUAAUUA